GGCAGGAUCAUUCAGUCUGACCCGCAGACCCUGGCUGAGCUGGUGAACCUGGGCCUGGCUAUCAUUGGCCCCGGAGAGGUCGUAAAGCCCAACAGGGAGGCAGAGCUGAUCGGCAUCAUUGCAGGGCUGGCAGCAUUCCUGCUCCUCUUCAUCCUCAUCAUGACCCUGGUCUUGGUUUUCACCACCAAGAGCUACAAGAGAAAGCUGAGUGCCAUGAAGGCUCUGAAGGCGGCCACAACGAUCAGCCCUGCCAUGGUGCAGCAGGGAGCCGGCAUCCCCGGGACCAACCAGUACAAUGCAGAGGGAGCCAACCCCAUGCUGAACGUCUCCAUUGAUCCCUCCCACGACCUGGGCUUCCACGAGGACUCCGUCUCUGUAGCCAGGUGA
rnacentral:lncRNA from 1 species